rnacentral:rRNA from 1 species
AUGGCCGCGUCAUCGUCGUUCCCAUGGCCGGAGCCGUCCCCGACCCGUGAGGUUAUGCUCUGCAGCUCCGUUGGCCUCGUCUGCAUCGCCUACAACCUUCGGUUCGAGCUGAAGCCCUCCACAACCUCGCCAUCUGGUCGUCUUCCCCGCCACGGCCACGGCGCCAUCGCCGUCGAUCUCCAUCACCGGCGCCUCGCCUCCCGGCGGUUCCAGAUGCUGGAGUCCAGGAGCCAGGAGCCAGCGUCGACGACGACUACUACAUUGGAGGUGCCUACUACUACGUGCAGGCUGACGACGACGACCAGGAGUAGUUACGAGGAUCCCAGGCAGGAGGCCUGCGCCUCUUUCGAUCUGUAUCCCAGUUUGUGCUAG